rnacentral:rRNA from 1 species
UCCGGAGGGUGCGAUCGUUAUUCGGAAUUACUGGGCGUAAAGCGCGUGCAGGCGGGAGAGUGGGUCUGAUGUGAAAGCCCGGGGCUUAACCCCGGAAGAGCAUUGGAAACUGUUCUUCUUGAGUUUCGGAGAGGAAGGGGGAAUUCCCGGUGUAGAGGUGAAAUUCGUAGAGAUCGGGAGGAACACCAGUGGCGAAGGCGCCCUUCUGGACGACAACUGACGCUGAGACGCGAAAGCGUGGGGAGAAAACAGG